GGCAGAAAAUGAAUCCAUGGAGAUUUUGACAAGACCCCUCUAAGCAAGAUCUAAAGACAACAUCAGAUGGAGUUGUCUGUGGAUUAUGAGGAUGCAGCAUUCAAGGUUCUAUCUUGGAAGCAGAGACUGUGCCCUCACCAGAUGCUGAACCUGCUGAGCACCCUGAUCUUCCACUUCACCUUCAUCAGAACUACUGGGGCUGUGGCUGAGAUGUCACAUGGCAGAUAGGAUCACAAAUUUCUGUUGUAUCUGGAUGGAGAUCAGCAGGAGGAUCUAUGGGUACUUCAAAGAGGACAUCCUCUCCUGAAGAACAGAAGAACCUGAAAUGUUUGGAGCCUAAGACUGCUGUGAUUGCACCUGCCAUCUUAUGCAGAAAUGACCUGAAGACAGACUGAAACAACGUGUUCUACAGCCUGAAAAUAUCUACCUUGACUUACAGUUUUAUUAAUGCUGGUGUGAUCAGACUGGACAAAAAUUAGCAUAUGUUAUUAACUGAUCUAAUUCAAGUGCCAAUUCUUAAUAGAAACACAAAACAAUAAAAGCAAUUCAGAAAA
rnacentral:lncRNA from 1 species